UACACGUUCACUUUCACUUCACCUACACGUCACUUCACUUGUUUUUACCUAUUACCGUUGUCACCUAAAGUGAAGUGAUGAAAAUGAACACCGUGAAGUGAGAGUGACAGUGAGGUGAUGUUCGGAAUAACCAUGGCGUGUUAUUCAUAAUUAUCUGCUUCUGUCGAUUUCUUUUUUAGCGGAAACUUUGUUUUUUUUAUUGAAUUGUGCUCUGAUACCGACAGUGAAGAGGAUUAUUUGGUGAAAGUAAAAGUUCUUAUUUAUUUUACUUUAGAGCAAUUUCUUCCUAGCGCAUCGUCAAGCUGCCCAGAAUGUACGGAGGAACCGGUGCAAAUCCGUUGUUCUGAACUCUGGUGGGUUUUUAAGCUGGUGGGGCUCCAAACAAAGUAUCAGCAUGAUUAUCCACGUUUCCAAUCGACCACCUACUACGACAAUCAAUGGGGAUGAACAAACCCAGUGCAGCGGAACUUUUUGGCGUUAGCAGGAACCACUAAGUCGGGCAUUAAGAAAUCCGACAUGUAUGUGGAUCUCGAAGGGUAGCAACGGUAUGGUAAAUUUGAACGCUAUGUCAACCAAGCACCGGGGUAUGGUGGAUGAUUACGUGUCCGUUUCCAGCGUACUAUACAAGGUAGCAAUGGUCGUUCCCCCGAAGGAUGCAAUAAAGAUAGUACCAGCUCAAAAGGUGGUACCGAGCGUUAAUUCGACGAAAGCCUUUCCCGCACUGUACGAAUCCGGUGGCAAGCCGGAUGGUCCCGUUAAACCUGCCCAGUGGAUUGUCGCUAUUAAGGUGAAUUCGUCUUCGCUCUCACUUGGAGGUGGUGGCUCAGAUGCCACUGGUGGAACACGGACAGUUUCGUCGAAAAAGAAACUCCGGCCUCCAACCUAAAGGAGGAAGGCAACUUUGUGAACUUGAAAGCUCCAACUGGAAAGAAAUCUGGCAGGGUGAGGAUAGCAGUGGCAACAACAAAGACAAGAACGACAGUAAUACUAGUGUCAGCAGCACGAUGUACCAGAAAAGAUGACUGGCUGUGAUAUGAAAAAAUUGUUAUACUUCCAGCUUUCUUAAAUGGCUAAUAUUUAAACGUGUAUGUCUUCAAUAAAAUAAUCAAGGAAGUAAAUAGUAAUGUU